GUUUGUCUCAACUGUUCAAACUUCACUACCUUCAGUUCUCUAGAGCUUUUUGGAACAGCUCAAUUUGUAAACUCUAUUAUAAACUGAGACUAGAUCAUACUAUCAACUCUGUCUUCAACAUGAAACUUGUACCAUUCGUUCACCUUCUUACAUUUUAAGGUAAAACCGGCCAUCUGAAUGACUCUAUUAUCAUUGACGUCCAAUUCAUUGGCUAUCAUUUUGACAGUCCUGUCGUACUCGAAAGAAUCAUCUACUUCCUUAUACUUAGGAACAUUCAACUUUAAGUAGUCUAUCAUCUUUAUUUUAUUUCGAUUAAUUACCCCAGUCUCUUAUAUAAGAACUGUUGGAGCUGGAGGGGGUGGUGGUGGUACUUGCUCUCUU
rnacentral:misc_RNA from 1 species